UCCCGGGGUUGAUCCUGCCGGAGGUCGCUGCUAUUGGGAUUCGAUUAAGCCAUGCGAGUCGAGAGGGUUCGGCCCUCGGCUGACGGCUCAGUAACACGUGGAUAAUCUGCCCUUAGGUGGAGGAUACCCUCGGGAAACUGAGAAUAAUACUCCAUAGGUCUAGGAUGCUGGAAUGCACUUAGACUGAAAAUUCCGGUGCCUAAGGAUGAGUCUGCGGACUAUCUGGUUGUAGUCAGGGUAAAGACCUGACUAGCCUAUGACGGAUACGGGUUGUGAGAGCAAUAACCCGGAGAUGAUAUCUGAGACACGAUAUCAGGCCCUACGGGGCGCAGCAGGCGCGAAAACUUCACAAUGUGCGAAAGCACGAUGAGGGAAUCCCAAGUGCUUGCACGUAAGUGCAAGCUGUUUCUAUGUCUAAAACACAUAGAGAGUAAGGGCUGGGUAAGACGGGUGCCAGCCGCCGCGGUAAUACCUGCAGCUCAAGUGGUGGCCGCUAUUAUUGGGCCUAAAACGUCCGUAGCCGGUUUAAUAAAUGCCUGGGUAAAUUGUAUAGCUUAACUAUACGAAUUCCGGGUAGACUGAUAAACUUGAGACCGGGGGAAGUUAGAGGUACUCCUGGGGUAGAGGUGAAAUUCUGUAAUCCUAGGGGGACCACCGGUGGCGAAGGCGUCUGACUAAAACGGGUCUGACGGUGAGGGACGAAGCCCUGGGGCGCAAACGGGAUUAGAUACCCCGGUAGUCCAGGGUGUAAACGCUGCUUGCUUGAUGUUAGUCGGGCUUCGAGCCCGAUUAGUGUCGGAGAGAAGUUGUUAAGCAAGCUGCCUGGGAAGUACGGCCGCAAGACUGAAACUUAAAGGAAUUGGCGGGGGAGCACAGCAACGGGUGGAGCGUGCGGUUUAAUUGGAUUCAACGCCGGG
rnacentral:rRNA from 1 species